UACGAAGGGGAGCUAGCGUUGCUCGGAAUCACUGGGCGUAAAGGGUGCGUAGGCGGGUCUUUAAGUCAGGGGUGAAAUCCUGGAGCUCAACUCCAGAACUGCCUUUGAUACUGAAGAUCUUGAGUUCGGGAGAGGUGAGUGGAACUGCGAGUGUAGAGGUGAAAUUCGUAGAUAUUCGCAAGAACACCAGUGGCGAAGGCGGCUCACUGGCCCGAUACUGACGCUGAGGCACGAAAGCGUGGGGAGCAAACGGG
rnacentral:rRNA from 1 species